UACAGAGGUGUCAAACGUUGUCCGGAAUUACUGGGCGUAAAGGGCGCGUAGGCGGCCUUAUAAGUCAUGUGUGAAAGCUCUGGGCUCAACCCAGGAAUUGCAUGUGAUACUGUAAGGCUUGAGUUCGGUAGAGGAGGGCGGAAUUCCAGGUGUAGCGGUGAAAUGCGUAGAUAUCUGGAGGAACACCCGUGGCGAAGGCAGCUCUCUGGUCCGAAACUGACGCUGAGGUGCGAAAGCUAGGGUAGCAAACAGG
rnacentral:rRNA from 1 species